UACAGAGAAAAGAUUGAGGGGUUAUUUGGGUUUUGUAUAAAGCUGCAUAUGUAGAUGAAUACACAAGCUUGGGUGUGAGUGUUAGAGAUUGAUACACUUGAGAGAAACCAAGAGAGAUUGUUCUUACUCGACUGUAAUGUACCAAGAUUAUUUCUCAAUCAAUAAGAAGAGGAAGAGAUAGUGUUCCAAAACAGGAGUAGAGCCAUAGAUCACAUUGAUCAAUUGGUCUUGAACCAGUAUACUUUGUGGUGUCUUUUACAUUUCUUCAGUUACUUAUUGUUCUUGUUCCUUAAGUGUUUGUUGUUCUGUUUUUACUAAUUUUGAUUGUUUUUCUAACUGUUAAGUUCUUGGUUUGAUUUUGUUAGCAAUACUUUCCCACAAUGUGUUAAAUUGUCUUCCCUUUGUUUGUUAAGGAAGAAAAGUGGGAGGAUUGAAAGGUUUUGAGGGAAAAGUGAGGAGAAGUAAAAAAAUAGAGUAGUUUGGUAAGAGAGAAUAUAGAGUGGAAAGGAAAAUUGGAAAGAAAAAAAUGAGUGGGCCCAUACCAAAUAUUUUCUCACCAAAUUGGAGAGAAAUGUGAGGAGAGAACGUGUUACUUUUGUAGUUGAUGAUAAUAUGACCAAAUUAACCUUCAAAAGUUGAAUAUUAUAAGGGUAAAAGUGUCUAAAAAUAUUUUUUUUCUUUUCUGAAUUUCAAUUAAAAUAAUAAAUAAAUUAGUUUUUUUCUACCAAACGUAUAGGAGAGAAAAUACAUUUACUUUAUUUCCUUUGACUUUUAUUUCCCAAUUAUUUUUUCUCUCCUCCUUAUUUUCUAUCCAAUCUACCAAACAUAGGCUUAAUGUUCUACUAAUGCUUAUCUUGAUUCUACCACAGGUAUCAUUGAGGAGGGACGUAACACUGGAUAUCAGGGAGCAGGAAGGAUUAUUACGAGUCAUUGUACAAUGAGAGUCAGGCACAGUUCAACUCUAGAUAUGAGACUAAACAUUUUACAAUCACUGUGUCCGAUCAAGUUACCUCUUGUGAACAUGCCUUCUGCAAAGCUUGUCUGAUUGAUUAUGCUGCUUCCUUGGGACAAGUCUCAUGCCCUUCCUGCUCGACACUGCUUACUCUUGAUUUGACAUCAAAUGCAGAUAAUGAGAAUCACACCAGUAAAACUACAACAAAGGGCUUCAAGGCAUCAAGUAUUCUAACCAGAGUUCAACUUGACAAUUUUCAAACAAGUACAAGAAUUGAGGCUUUGUAACGUCGAUGGUUGCUCAGCAGCUUUGGGAAAAUUAACAGAAGCAGACAUGAAGUUUCUUUUUAUUACUUAGAGAGAUAAUUAUCCAUAAUAGCCCCCUAGCAUUGGGCUGUGGAGAACCCUGUCGUUUUUUGGCUUAUAUUUACAUCGUUGCACAAGUACAUAGUUUUUUCUUUUGAUGGGCUGCUGCUUUGAAGUGGCCAAGAAUCUUGAAAACAUAUAAUUUUCCUACAUAGUUGGUAUCAAGUACAAGUUUUGUGAUCGGUGCAUUUUGUGGUGAAUGAUUUUUUAGUAUAAUGAUGUGGUAAAGGCAUAUCGGCUUCAGAAGUUUUUCUUGCCAUGUCUUAAAAUUUAAGGGCUUACCAAACAAUAUGAUUUGCGCUCUUACAUAAAUUGUACCAUGUAGGGUGACGAAUCAAACUACAGAACU